rnacentral:rRNA from 1 species
AUUGAACGCUGGCGGCAGGCCUAACACAUGCAAGUCGAGCGGAUGAAGGGAGCUUGCUCCUGGAUUCAGCGGCGGACGGGUGAGUAAUGCCUAGGAAUCUGCCUGGUAGUGGGGGAUAACGUCCGGAAACGGGCGCUAAUACCGCAUACGUCCUGAGGGGGAAAGUGGGGGAUCUUCGGACCUCACGCUAUCAGAUGAGCCUAGGUCGGAUUAGCUAGUUGGUGGGGUAAAGGCCUACCAAGGCGACGAUCCGUAACUGGUCUGAGAGGAUGAUCAGUCACACUGGAACUGAGACACGGUCCAGACUCCUACGGGAGGCAGCAGUGGGGAAUAUUGGACAAUGGGCGAAAGCCUGAUCCAGCCAUGCCGCGUGUGUGAAGAAGGUCUUCGGAUUGUAAAGCACUUUAAGUUGGGAGGAAGGGCAGUAAGUUAAUACCUUGCUGUUUUGACGUUACCAACAGAAAAAGCACCGGCUAACUUCGUG